UACGAAGGGGGCUAGCGUUGUUCGGAAUUACUGGGCGUAAAGCGCACGUAGGCGGGCGAUUAAGUCAGGGGUGAAAUCCUGGAGCUCAACUCCAGAACUGCCUUUGAUACUGGCGAUCUCGAGUCCGGAAGAGGUGAGUGGAACUCCUAGUGUAGAGGUGGAAUUCGUAGAUAUUAGGAAGAACACCAGUGGCGAAGGCGGCUCACUGGUCCGGAACUGACGCUGAGGUGCGAAAGCGUGGGGAGCAAACAGG
rnacentral:rRNA from 1 species